CUUCCUUAUUUUUCUGUUUUCUAUCGGCUAACAAGUAGCAACCCUCUUCUCUCUUUUCUCUCUUUCUGUUUCUCUCUCAGUUGGCAUAGCAGCAGCAAGAGCACCCCAAAAGAACCCAUCCUCUUCUCUGUAUACUGCAGCAAACCAGAAACAGCAACUCUUUCUACUUCUUUCUCUGCAGAUUUCUCUCUCUUUCCCUCUGUUUCUCUCUUAAUACAGCAACCUAUCUUCUUUCAGCAGAGACUUCAUCUUUCUCUGGUUUUCUUCUUCCAGACAGCAAAGAGCUCUGAUCUCUCUUCCUCUCGCUGGUUCUCUUGGCCAGCAGCUUGAAUCCUCUCUUUCUUUGUAUUUCAUUCGGCCAAACCAGCAAGUAGCUCUCAAGCUACUUUCCCUCUCCAUCUCUGUAACUCUCUCUCGGCUCAGGUGCAGGAAAAGGAUCCUCUCCACCUCUUUUCCCUCUUGGUCUGCAACCGCCCCUCCUUUCUGAAUGCUAUUUCAUAUAUAUCCUCCUUUGUUAGUCUCUUCACCUGCUUCUUUGAGCUUUAGGACCAUAGUUAAUCAGUGCAGGUUGAUCAAGGCCUAGACAGACUCAGUCUUUGACACCAGCACUGUAUGGACAUAACUGGAAAAGACAAGUUGUAAUAUUGAAAUCUAUAGUUGGGUGACCUGUUGCAGAAGUUGAGAGCUAGCUUCCACAAGGGCAAUAUCCUGUAUGUCUGUUUCGUCAGUAUCAGGUUGCUGCUUACUUAUUACUUACUGCUGAGUGUACUCCCGAAUAUUGGUCUGUUCUAAAAACGAAGAGAAGCUUGGAGCACAAUUCUCAAGAUCAGGCUCAGUUCUUCCAGCAAGUAAAGAGUUCAAAGGAUGUGUUUUCUGUGAUUGCCGAGUAUUUUGGUAGAGGAAUCAUAAGCAAAACAAGUAAUGGACCCACGGGUGCUGUUAGAUCAGGCAGCACUUCUUCCAGCAGAGUGUUGUUGCUUGCUUCUUUGUCUCAAUAUUAUGCCAAGGAGUGUCAGGGUUUUAAAAAUAUGUUGUUGUAAUCAAUGGAUGGAGAAACAAAUUAGGAGCAAGAAAAGAGGUAAAUUUGCAAGAUGUGGUACAUCAUUCAAAAGUAAUCCAAACUGGAAUUGAUAUCUU